GCCGAUGUGGUGUAGUGGGAGCACGUCUUUCGAUUGCGACGGGUCCUUCCGGGCUUGCCCAUAAUUGGGGUCGAGAUGCCUGGGUUCGAAUCCUAGCAUCGGCA